GAACGUAUAGCUUAGUGGUCAGACGCUUAGACUUUUCUAAGAGGCGCGGGUUCAAAUCCCGCUACGUUAA
rnacentral:tRNA from 1 species